ACGGCUCAGUAACACGUGGACAACCUGCCCUUAGGACGGGGAUAAACCCGGGAAACUGGGUAUAAUACCCGAUAGGUCUCGAGUGCUGGAAUGCAUCGAGAUCUAAAGCUCCGGCGCCUAAGGAUGGGUCUGCGGCCUAUCAGGUAGUAGUGGGUGUAGUGUACCUACUAGCCUACGACGGGUACGGGUUGUGAGAGCAAGAGCCCGGAGAUGGAUUCUGAGACACGAAUCCAGGCCCUACGGGGUGCAGCAGGCGCGAAAACUUUACAAUGCUGGCAACAGCGAUAAGGGAACCUCGAGUGCCAGGUUACAAAUCUGGCUGUCGUGAUGCCUAAAAAGCAUUGCAUAGCAAGGGCCGGGCAAGACCGGUGCCAGCCGCCGCGGUAACACCGGCGGCUCGAGUGGUAACCGUUAUUAUUGGGUCUAAAGGGUCUGUAGCCGGCCGGAUAAGUCUCUUGAGAAAUCUGGCAGCUUAACUGUCAGGCUUUCAGGAGAUACUGUCUGGCUCGAGGCCGGGAGAGGUGAGAGGUACUUCAGGGGUAGGGGUGAAAUCUUGUAAUCCUUGAAGGACCACCAGUGGCGAAGGCGUCUCACCAGAACGGACCUGACGGCAAGGGACGAAAGCUAGGGGCACGAACCGGAUUAGAUACCCGGGUAGUCCUAGCCGUAAACGAUACUCGCUAGGUGUCGGCCACGGUGCGACCGUUGUCGGUGCCGUAGGGAAGCCGUGAAGCGAGCCACCUGGGAAGUACGGCCGCAAGGCUGAAACUUAAAGGAAUUGGCGGGGGAGCACCACAACGGGUGGAGCUUGCGGUUUAAUUGGAUUCAACGCCGGG
rnacentral:rRNA from 1 species